UACGUAGGCAGCAAGCGUUGUUCGGAAUUACUGGGCGUAAAGAGUGUGUAGGCGGUGCUCCAAGUCUGGUGUGAAAUCUCCCGGCUCAACUGGGAGGGUGCGCUAGAAACUGAAAUGCUAGAGGAUGGGAGAGGUAAGCGGAAUUCCCGGUGUAGUGGUGAAAUGCGUAGAUAUCGGGAGGAACACCAGUGGCGAAGGCGACUUCCUGGCCUGUUCUUGACGCUGAGGCGCGAAAGCUAGGGGAGCAAACGGG
rnacentral:rRNA from 1 species